CAAUAGCGUAUAUUAAAGUUGUUGCAGUUAAAAAGCUCGUAGUUGGAUUUCGGGGCAGCCUGGCUGGUCCGCCGCAAGGCGAGUACUGGUCAGCCGCCCUUCCUCUCGAAAGCCCCGACUGCUCUUUAUUGCAGUGGUCGGGUAGUUCGGGACGUUUACUUUGAAAAAAUUAGAGUGUUCAAGGCAGGCCUACGCCUGAAUACAUUAGCAUGGAAUAAUGGAAGAGGACCUCGGUCCUAUUUUGUUGGUUUCCAGGACCGAAGUAAUGAUUAAGAGGGACAAUUGGGGGCAUUCGUAUUUAAUUGUCAGAGGUGAAAUUCUCGGAUUUAUGAAAGACGAACAACUGCGAAAGCAUUUGCCAAGGAUGUUUUCAUUAA
rnacentral:rRNA from 1 species